ACUCUUCGGAGGCGUUACACAGGUGCUGCAUGGCCGUCGUCAGCUCGUGUCGUGAGAUGUUUGGUUAAGUCCAGCAACGAGCGCAACCCCUGUUGCCAGUUACCAGCACGUGAAGAUGGGGACUCUGGCGAGACUGCCCAGAUCAACUGGGAGGAAGGUGGGGACGACGUCAGGUCAGUAUGGCCCUUAUGCCCAGGGCUGCACACGUACUACAAUGCCCAGUACAGAGGGGGCCGAAGCCGCGAGGCGGAGGAAAUCCUAAAAACUGGGCCCAGUUCGGACUGUAGGCUGCAACCCGCCUACACGAAGCCGGAAUCGCUAGUAAUGGCGCAUCAGCUACGGCGCCGUGAAUACGUUCCCGGGUCUUGUACACACCGCCCGUCACAUCAUGGAAGCCGGUCGCACCCGAAGUAUCUGAAGCCAACCGCAAGGAGGCAGGGUCCUAAGGUGAGACUGGUAACUGGGAUGAAGUCGUAACAAGGUAGCCGUAGGGGAACCUGCGGC
rnacentral:rRNA from 1 species